rnacentral:rRNA from 1 species
GUGCCAGCAGCCGCGGUAAUACGUAGGUGGCAAGCGUUGUCCGGAUUUAUUGGGCGUAAAGCGAGCGCAGGCGGUUUCUUAAGUCUGAUGUGAAAGCCUUCGGCUCAACCGAAGAAGUGCAUCGGAAACUGGGAAACUUGAGUGCAGAAGAGGACAGUGGAACUCCAUGUGUAGCGGUGAAAUGCGUAGAUAUAUGGAAGAACACCAGUGGCGAAGGCGGCUGUCUGGUCUGUAACUGACGCUGUGGCUCGAAAGCAUGGGUAGCAAACAGGAUUAGAUACCCUGGUAGUCCAUGCCGUAAACGAUGAGUGCUAGGUGUUGGAGGGUUUCCGCCCUUCAGUGCCGCAGCUAACGCAUUAAGCACUCCGCCUGGGGAGUACGACCGCAAGGUUGAAACUCAAAGGAAUUGACGGGGGCCCCCACAAGCGGUGGAGCAUGUGGUUUAAUUCGAAGCAACGCGAAGAACCUUACCAGGUCUUGACAUCCUUUGACCACUCUAGAGAUAGAGCUUUCCCUUCGGGGACAAAGUGACAGGUGGUGCAUGGUUGUCGUCAGCUCGUGUCGUGAGAUGUUGGGUUAAGUCCCGCAACGAGCGCAACCCUUAUUACUAGUUGCCAGCAUUUAGUUGGGCACUCUAGUGAGACUGCCGGUGACAAACCGGAGGAAGGUGGGGACGACGUCAAAUCAUCAUGCCCCUUAUGACCUGGGCUACACACGUGCUACAAUGGAUGGUACAACGAGUCGCGAGACCGCGAGGUUUAGCUAAUCUCUUAAAACCAUUCUCAGUUCGGAUUGUAGGCUGCAACUCGCCUACAUGAAGCCGGAAUCGCUAGUAAUCGCGGAUCAGCAUGCCGCGGUGAAUACGUUCCCGGGCCUUGUACACACCGCCCGU